rnacentral:rRNA from 1 species
AUUGAACGCUGGCGGCAUGCCUUACACAUGCAAGUCGAACGGCAGCAUAGGAGCUUGCUCCUGAUGGCGAGUGGCGAACGGGUGAGUAAUAUAUCGGAACGUGCCCUAGAGUGGGGGAUAACUAGUCGAAAGACUAGCUAAUACCGCAUACGAUCUACGGAUGAAAGUGGGGGAUCGCAAGACCUCAUGCUCCUGGAGCGGCCGAUAUCUGAUUAGCUAGUUGGUGGGGUAAAAGCCUACCAAGGCAACGAUCAGUAGCUGGUCUGAGAGGACGACCAGCCACACUGGGACUGAGACACGGCCCAGACUCCUACGGGAGGCAGCAGUGGGGAAUUUUGGACAAUGGGGGCAACCCUGAUCCAGCAAUGCCGCGUGAGUGAAGAAGGCCUUCGGGUUGUAAAGCUCUUUUGUCAGGGAAGAAACGGUAGUAGCGAAUAACUACCACUAAUGACGGUACCUGAAGAAUAAGCACCGGCUAACUACGUGCCAGCCGCCGCCGUAA